rnacentral:rRNA from 1 species
ACGGGGCCGCACAAGCGUGGAGCAUGUGGUUUAAUUCGAUGAUACGCGAGGAACCUUACCUGGGCUCGAACGUAAGAUGACUGUAGGUGAAAGCUUACAUCUCUUCGGAGCAUUUUACGAGGUGCUGCAUGGUUGUCGUCAGCUCGUGCCGUGAGGUGUCGGGUUAAGUCCCAUAAACGAGCGCAACCCCUACCUUUAGUUGCCAUCAGGUUAAGCUGGGGACUCUAAAGGAACUGCCUACGCAAGUAGUGAGGAAGGCGGGGAUGACGUCAAAUCAGCACGGCCCUUACGUCCAGGGCUACACACGUGCUACAAUGGCCGAUACAGAGGGCAGCUACCUGGUGACAGGAUGCAAAUCUCCAAAGUCGGUCUCAGUUCGGAUCGGAGUCUGCAACCCGACUCCGUGAAGUUGGAUUCGCUAGUAAUCGCGCAUCAGCCAUGGCGCGGUGAAUACGUUCCCGGGCCUU